GUAGUAUGCUGGGGCAGAGUGACGUAAUAUUUUGUAUAUUGUAAUGUGAUGUUGCUACGCAGAAAACCAAUCCUUAAGUAUGGUGUUGGCAAGAAGAUUGGCAAUUUGGUUGAGCUUAUUAAGAAAGUUGGUGGGGUUUGUGCUGGUGACUAAAGAAUUUAGGAUGUUCUCCAUCAACAAUUCCACAAAGCAACUGACAAAAAGAAAGCCGUUUAAUUACCACCUAUCUCUGUGUUGAACAGAGAAUUUACACCUGGCACAUCGUAUAUGAAUGGGUACUCAGCACUCCUUUUUAGACCCACACAGCUGAUCAGCAAUUUCCAAGGAGAAGUAUUAGAUCGGAAAAAAGCCAGAGGAAGCAAUGAGAUACAUGCAGUCAUGGUGUCUCAAAGCAUCUUCAAACUUUA